rnacentral:rRNA from 1 species
AGAGAGAGACAUGCGCGCAUAUCAAUAAGCGGAGGAAAAGAAACUAACAAGGAUUCCCUUAGUAACGGCGAGUGAAGCGGGAAGAGCUCAAAUUUGAAAUCUUCAAGGGUUUACCUUUACGAAUUGUAGUUUAAAGAAGUGUUUUCUGUUGAGGUUUUGGUAAAAGUUCUUUGGAAUAGGACAUCAUAGAGGGUGAGAAUCCCGUAUUUGACCAUUUACUUUCAGCUUUGUGAUACACUUUCAAAGAGUCGGAUUGUUUGGGAAUGCAGUCCAAAAUGGGUGGUAAAUUUCAUCUAAAGCUAAAUAUUGGCGAGAGACCGAUAGCGAACAAGUACCGUGAGGGAAAGAUGAAAAGAACUUUGAAAAGAGAGUUAAACAGUACGUGAAAUUGUCAAAAGGGAAGCGUUUGACACCAGUGUUGUUUUUCUGAAAAUCAAUUAAAGAACUGUUUAUGCUAAGUUGUUUAGACUUUAUCAGCUAACUGUUUAGUUUUGAGCUUUUCUUUAAUGCACUUUUCAGUUAACAAGUCAACAUCAAUUUCUUUUGCUGUAAAAAAGCUUGAGGAAGGUGGCUUGAGAUUCGUCUUAAGUGUUUAUAGCCUCUUGCCUAUGCAGUCGGAGAGAUUGAGGUCUGCAGCGUAGAUCCUUCGGGGCUAAAUGCAUUUGUGCUAAGUUAUAGCAUUUUAUAGACAACUUGUUGACUAUGAUUUGUCUUGUAGCUUACUCGCUUAUGUUAUUUUACCUACGCUUAGGAUGUUGAGCGCAUGUCUCUCUCU